rnacentral:rRNA from 1 species
UGUCUUUUUGAAUUAAUUUGGAAGUCUGACCUGCCCACUGAGGAUAUUAAAUGGCCGCAGUAUUUUAACUGUGCAAAGGUAGCAUAAUCAUUAGUCUUUUAAUUGGAGGCUGGAAUGAAUGGUUGGAUGAGGUAUUAACUGUUUCAUUUUGAUUUAUAAUGGAAAUUUAUUUUUUAGUCAAAAAGCUAAAAUUUAAUUGAAAGACGAGAAGACCCUAUAAAUCUUUAUAUUACGAUAAUUAUAAUUAUGUAGAUAAAUUAAGUUUUAGUUUUUAGUAAUAUUUUAUUGGGGUGAUAUUAAAAUUUAUAAAACUUUUAAUUUGUUGUAAACAUUAAUUUAUGAAGUUGUGAUCCAUCAAUGGUGAUUAUGAAAAUAAGUUACUUUAGGGAUAACAGCGUAAUUUUUUUAGAGAGUUCCUAUUGAUAAGAAAGAUUGCGACCUCGAUGUUGGAUUAAAAUAUAAAUUUAGGUGCAGUAGCUUAAGUUUAAAGUCUGUUCGACUUUUAAAUUUUUACAUGAUC